UGAACACAUGCAAGUCGAGCGGGAAGCUUUUUAAGGAUUCUUCGGAUGAAUUAAAAAGUGGAGAGCGGCGGACGGGUGAGUAACGCGUGAGAAACCUGCCCUAUACAGGGGGAUAGCCAUUGGAAACGAUGAUUAAUACCCCAUAUGACCACAGUAUCGCAUGAUACAGCGGUGAAAACUCCGGUGGUAUAGGAUGCCCUCGCGUCUGAUUAGCUAGUUGGUGGGGUAACGGCCUACCAAGGCGACGAUCAGUAGCCGGCCUGAGAGGGUGACCGGCCACACUGGAACUGAGACACGGUCCAGACUCCUACGGGAGGCAGCAGUGGGGAAUAUUGCACAAUGGGCGAAAGCCUGAUGCAGCGACGCCGCGUGAACGAUGAAGGCUUUCGAGUCGUAAAGUUCUGUUCCUGGGGAAGAUAACGACGGUACCCAAGGAGAAAGCACCGGCUAAAUACGUGCCAGCAGCCGCGGUAAUACGUAUGGUGCAAGCGUUGUCCGGAAUUACUGGGCGUAAAGAGUUCGUAGGCGGUUAGAUUAGUCAGAAGUGAAAGGCUACGGCUCACCCGUAGUAAGCCUUUUGAAACUGUCUAACUUGAGUACUGGAGAGGAAGCCGAAUUCCUAGUGUAGCGGUGAAAUGCGUA
rnacentral:rRNA from 1 species